UGAAAAAGUAAUGGCGAGAUCAGCUGUGAAUAUUUGACUGGAUUAAUUAUUCUCUUUAAGUCAGUGAAAUGUAUGACUUAACUAAACCAAGGUAAGGAAAUCUUAUACUGUCUUUGCACAACCUUAACUGCUUUAGAUGCACUGACAUAAAACACAUUCGUUGUUUAAAAUAAUACUUUUUUUUUGUGAUAAAGGAAUCCUGCAAAAGUAAAUGAGAAAGUAUUGUCCUAAAUUUCAACUUAGGCAGCCAACAACCAUUUGAUUUUCUGUAGGGGGUAGGGGGUGGUGGCUUUUGAUUGUUUUGAAGAGAAAAAAGUUUGUUUCCAAUUUUUGGAUAAAAAAAAAAUUUGUUUUUGACCCUGAGAAAAAAAAAUGUUUGUUUUACCCUCAGCUGCCAUUAAAUGAAAUGCUAAAAUUGAAAGAGAAGAAUUGUUUUCAACUUGUCUGGAAAAAAAUCCAUAGUCCCCCCCUCCCCCCUCCCUGAAAACAAAUGGUUGCUGCCUUCAAACAAUCUCUUUCAG
rnacentral:lncRNA from 1 species